rnacentral:rRNA from 1 species
GAGAGUUUGAUCCUGGCUCAGAAUCAACGCUGGCGGCGUGCCUCAGACAUGCAAGUCGAACGCGAAAGUCCCCUUCGGGGGACAAGUAGAGUGGCGCAC